CUGACAAAACAACAAUUUAUUGUUGUUUGUAAAGUUCUCAAUGUUUAUCGAAAGAUAAACACCAACAACACAUUCAAGUGUGCUUGGUAUCGAAUAAGACUUCGGUCUUGUUCAAAUUUGAGUCCGGCAAAA
rnacentral:sRNA from 1 species